CCAACGGCCCUCUUUAGGGCCACAUAUGUGUAAGAGUACAUCCUGU
rfam:Heterorhabditis bacteriophora unplaced genomic scaffold Scaffold1107, whole genome shotgun sequence.